GACGAACGCUGGCGGCGUGCUUAACACAUGCAAGUCGAACGGAAAGGCCCUGCUUUUGUUGGGUGCUCGAGUGGCGAACGGGUGAGUAACACGUGAGUAACCUGCCCUUGACUUUGGGAUAACUUCAGGAAACUGGGGCUAAUACCGGAUAGGAGCUCCUGCUGCAUGGUGUGGGUUGGAAAGUUUCGGCGGUUGGGGAUGGACUCGCUGCUUAUCCGCUUGUUGGUGGGGUAGUGGCUUACCAAGGCUUUGACGGGUAGCCGGCCUGAGAGGGUGAACGGCCACAUGGGGACUGAGAGACGGCGCAGAAUGCUACGGGAGGCAGCAGUGGGGAAUAUUGCACAAUAGGCGGAAGCCUGAUGCAGCAACGCCGCGUGCGGGAUGACGGCCUUCGGGUUGUAAACCACUGUCGCCGGUGACGAAGCGUGAGUGACGGUAAUGGGUAAAGAAGCACCGGCUAACUACGUG
rnacentral:rRNA from 1 species